GGUUAAGCGACUAAGCGUACACGGUGGAUGCCCUGGCAGUCAGAGGCGAUGAAGGACGUGCUAAUCUGCGAAAAGCGUCGGUAAGGUGAUAUGAACCGUUACAGCCGGCGAUGUCCGAAUGGGGAAACCCAGUGCAAUUCGUUGCACUAUCGUUAACUGAAUACAUAGGUUAACGAGGCGAACCGGGGAACUGAAACAUCUAAGUACCCCGAGGAAAGAAAUCAACCGAGAUUCCCCAGUAGCGGCGAGCGAACGGGGAGCAGCCCAGAGUCUGAAUCAGCUUGUGUGUUAGUGGAACGGUCUGGAAAGUCCGACGGUACAGGGUGAUAGUCCCGUACACCAAAAUGCACAGGUUGUGAACUCGAAGAGUAGGGCGGGACACGUGGUAUCCUGUCUGAAUAUGGGGGACCAUCCUCCAAGGCUAAAUACUCCUGACUGACCGAUAGUGAACCAGUACCGUGAGGGAAAGGCGAAAAGAACCCCGGCGAGGGGAGUGAAAAAGAACCUGAAACCGUGUACGUACAAGCAGUGGGAGCACCUUCGGGUGUGACUGCGUACCUUUGUAUAAUGGGUCAGCGACUUAUAUUCUGUAGCAAGGUUAACCGUAUAGGGAGCCGCAGGGAAACCGAGUCUUAACUGGGCGUUAAGUUGCAGGGUAUAGACCCGAAACCCGGUGAUCUAGCCAUGGGCAGGUUGAAGGUUGGGUAACACUAACUGGAGGACCGAACCGACUAAUGUUGAAAAAUUAGCGGAUGACUUGUGGCUGGGGUGAAAGGCCAAUCAAACCGGGAGAUAGCUGGUUCUCCCCGAAAGCUAUUUAGGUAGCGCCUCGUGAACUCAUCUUCGGGGUAGAGCACUGUUUCGGCUAGGGGUCAUCCCGACUUACCAACCCGAUGCAAACUACGAAUACCGAAGAAUGUUAUCACGGGAGACACACGGCGGGUGCUAACGUCCGUCGUGAAGAGGAAACAACCCAGACCGCCAGCUAAGGUCCCAAAGUCAUGGUUAAGUGGGAAACGAUGUGGGAAGGCACAGACAGCCGGGAUGUUGGCUUAGAAGCAGCCAUCAUUUAAAGAAAGCGUAAUAGCUCACUGGUCGAGUCGGCCUGCGCGGAAGAUGUAACGGGGCUAAACCAUGCACCGAAGCUGCGGCAGCGACACUAUGUGUUGUUGGGUAGGGAGCGUUCUGUAAGCCUGCGAAGGUGUGCUGUGAGGCAUGCUGGAGGUAUCAGAAGUGCGAAUGCUGACAUAAGUAACGAUAAAGCGGGUGAAAAGCCCGCUCGCCGGAAGACCAAGGGUUCCUGUCCAACGUUAAUCGGGGCAGGGUGAGUCGACCCCUAAGGCGAGGCCGAAAGGCGUAGUCGAUGGGAAACAGGUUAAUAUUCCUGUACUUGGUGUUACUGCGAAGGGGGACGGAGAAGGCUAUGUUAGCCGGGCGACGGUUGUCCCGGUUUAAGCAUGUAGGCUGGUUAUCCAGGCAAAUCCGGAUAAUCAAGGCUGAGGUGUGAUGACGAGGCACUACGGUGCUGAAGUAACAAAUACCCUGCUUCCGGGGAAAAGCCUCUAAGCAUCAGGUAACAUCAAAUCGUACCCCAAACCGACACAGGUGGUCAGGUAGAGAAUACCAAGGCGCUUGAGAGAACUCGGGUGAAGGAACUAGGCAAAAUGGUGCCGUAACUUCGGGAGAAGGCACGCUGGUGUGUAGGUGAAGUCCCUGCGGAUGGAGCUGAGACCAGUCGAAGAUACCAGCUGGCUGCAACUGUUUAUUAAAAACACAGCACUGUGCAAACACGAAAGUGGACGUAUACGGUGUGACGCCUGCCCGGUGCCGGAAGGUUAAUUGAUGGGGUUAUCCGUAAGGAGAAGCUCUUGAUCGAAGCCCCGGUAAACGGCGGCCGUAACUAUAACGGUCCUAAGGUAGCGAAAUUCCUUGUCGGGUAAGUUCCGACCUGCACGAAUGGCGUAAUGAUGGCCAGGCUGUCUCCACCCGAGACUCAGUGAAAUUGAACUCGCUGUGAAGAUGCAGUGUACCCGCGGCAAGACGGAAAGACCCCGUGAACCUUUACUAUAGCUUGACACUGAACAUUGAGCCUUGAUGUGUAGGAUAGGUGGGAGGCUUUGAAGCGUGGACGCCAGUCUGCGUGGAGCCAACCUUGAAAUACCACCCUUUAAUGUUUGAUGUUCUAACGUUGGCCCCUGACCGGGGUUGCGGACAGUGUCUGGUGGGUAGUUUGACUGGGGCGGUCUCCUCCCAAAGCGUAACGGAGGAGCACGAAGGUUAGCUAAUCCUGGUCGGACAUCAGGAGGUUAGUGCAAUGGCAUAAGCUAGCUUGACUGCGAGCGUGACGGCGCGAGCAGGUGCGAAAGCAGGUCAUAGUGAUCCGGUGGUUCUGAAUGGAAGGGCCAUCGCUCAACGGAUAAAAGGUACUCCGGGGAUAACAGGCUGAUACCGCCCAAGAGUUCAUAUCGACGGCGGUGUUUGGCACCUCGAUGUCGGCUCAUCACAUCCUGGGGCUGAAGUAGGUCCCAAGGGUAUGGCUGUUCGCCAUUUAAAGUGGUACGCGAGCUGGGUUUAGAACGUCGUGAGACAGUUCGGUCCCUAUCUGCCGUGGGCGCUGGAGAAUUGAGGGGGCUGCUCCUAGUACGAGAGGACCGGAGUGGACGCAUCACUGGUGUUCGGGUUGUCAUGCCAAUGGCACUGCCCGGUAGCUAAAUGCGGAAGAGAUAAGUGCUGAAAGCAUCUAAGCACGAAACUUGCCCCGAGAUGAGUUCUCCCUGAGACUAUAAGUCUCCUGAAGGAACGUUAAAGACGAUGACGUUGAUAGGCCGGGUGUGUAAGCGCAGCGAUGCGUUGAGCUAACCGGUACUAAUGAACCGUGAGGCUUAACCUU
rnacentral:rRNA from 1 species